GGUCCCUUCGUCUAUCGGUUAGGACGAAAGAUUCUCAAUCUUUAAAGACGAGUUCGACUCUCGUAGGGACCG
rfam:Treponema socranskii subsp. socranskii VPI DR56BR1116 = ATCC 35536 strain VPI DR56BR1116 ctg120007787853, whole genome shotgun sequence.